GAUGAACGCUGGCGGCGUGCCUAAUACAUGCAAGUCGAACGCUUCUUUUUCCACCGGAGCUUGCUCCACCGGAAAAAGAGGAGUGGCGAACGGGUGAGUAACACGUGGGUAACCUGCCCAUCAGAGGGGGAUAACACUUGGAAACAGGUGCUAAUACCGUAUAACAAUCAAAACCGCAUGGUUUUGAUUUGAAAGGCGCUUUCGGGUGUCGCUGAUGGAUGGACCCGCGGUGCAUUAGCUAGUUGGUGAGGUAACGGCUCACCAAGGCCACGAUGCAUAGCCGACCUGAGAGGGUGAUCGGCCACAUUGGGACUGAGACACGGCCCAAACUCCUACGGGAGGCAGCAGUAGGGAAUCUUCGGCAAUGGACGAAAGUCUGACCGAGCAACGCCGCGUGAGUGAAGAAGGUUUUCGGAUCGUAAAACUCUGUUGUUAGAGAAGAACAAGGAUGAGAGUAACUGUUCAUCCCUUGACGGUAUCUAACCAGAAAGCCACGGCUAACUACGUGCCAGCAGCCGCAGUAA
rnacentral:rRNA from 1 species